GGUUUUACUUGGGCUGAUAUCAAAGUAAAUCAUCCACUGGACUAUGAGACCAUCAAGGAGUAUAAUUUGACCAUACGUGUAGAGAACAAUGGUGCCCAACAAUUGGCUUCUGAAGCAACAGUUUACAUAAUGCUGGAAGAUGUCAAUGAUGAAAUUCCUUUGUUUACUGAAAGAGAACAAGAAACUGUCUUAGAAGGUGAACCAAUUGGCACCAAAGUCACCCAAGUGAAUGCCAUUGACAAAGAUGGAACUUUUCCUAACAACCAGGUUUAUUACUAUGUGGUAGAUUCCCCA